GACUCUGAGUGGUGGAUCACUCAGAACAUGAGUCGAUGAAGAACACAGCUAGCUGUGAGAACUAAUGUGAAUUGCAGAACACACUGAUCAUCGACACUUCUUACGCACUUUGCUGCCCCGAGUUACUCCCAGGGUUAUGUCUGUCUGAGGGUUG